rnacentral:rRNA from 1 species
AUUGAACGCUGGCGGCAGGCCUAACACAUGCAAGUCGAACGAGUGGCGGACGGGUGAGUAAUGUCUGGGAAACUGCCGGAUGGAGGGGGAUAACUACUGGAAACGGUAUCUAAAACGGUAUACCAUCAGAUGUGCCAAGAUGGGAUUAGCUAGUAGGUGAGGUAACGGCUCACCUAGGCGACGAUCCGUAGCUGGUCUGAGAGGAUGACCAGCCACACUGGAACGGAGAAACGGUCCAGACUCCUACGGGAGGCAGCAGUGGGGAAUAUUGCACAAUGGGCGCAAGCCUGAUGCAGCCAUGCCGCGUGUAUGAAGAAGGCCUUCGGGUUGUAAAGUACUUUCGGCGGGGAGGCGUUACCCGCAGAAGAAGCACCGGCUAACUCCGUGCCAGCCGCCGCGGUAAUAC